rnacentral:rRNA from 1 species
CCUUUGACGUUAGCGGCGGACGGGUGGGUAACACGUGGGUAACCUACCUAUAAGACUGGGAUAACUUCGGGAAACCGGAGCUAAUACCGGAUAAUAUUUCGAACCGCAUGGUUCGAUAGUGAAAGAUGGUUUUGCUAUCACUUAUAGAUGGACCCGCGCCGUAUUAGCUAGUUGGUAAGGUAACGGCUUACCAAGGCGACGAUACGUAGCCGACCUGAGAGGGUGAUCGGCCACACUGGAACUGAGACACGGUCCAGACUCCACGGGAGGCAGCAGUG